rnacentral:rRNA from 1 species
AUUCCAGCUCCAGUAGCGUAUAUUAACGUUGUUGCAGUUAAAAAGCUCGUAGUUGGAUUUCUGGUGAGAUUGACCCGGCCCCGUCCGCAUGGAUGUGAGUGCUGGUGUUUAUCUGCCAUCCUUCUAGAGAACGGUCCUGCUCUUCAUUGGGUUGGGGCCGCUAUCUAGAUCUUUUACUUUGAAAAAAUUAGAGUGUUUAAAGCAGGCAUUGCAUUGAAUACAUUAGCAUGGAAUAAUAAUAUAGGACUUCGGUCUCUAUUUUGUUGGUUUCUAGAACUGAAGUAAUGAUUGAUAGGGAUAGUUGGGGGUGCUAGUAUUCAGCGGCCAGGGGUGAAAUUCUUGGAUCCGCUGAAGACUAACUUAUGCGAAAGCAUUCACCAAGGAUGUCUUCAUUA